GUCCCUGUAGCGCAAUGAAUAGCGCGUUGGACUCCUAAUCCAAAGGUUGUGGGCUCGAAUCCCCCCUGGGAUA
rnacentral:tRNA from 1 species